UCAAAAGUACCUAAUUUGUGUAUAUAAAACACACUCAUCAAAUACCCCCAAACUUGAAUCUUUGUUUGUCCUCAAGCAAAACACUAAGAACAAAAACUAUAAAAAUAAAUUUUAACAAUCAACCACUUGAGCAAUGAAUCAAUAAGUUUGAACAAUGGCCUUAAAGAUGUCAAAACAUGAUAACUCUAGAAAACUUUCAAAAUGUCAGAACGUCCAGGAUUUCAACUUGCUUGUUAGUCAUACCUUGCUUUAGAUCCUUUGUGUGUGUGUGUGUGUAUCCAUUUGCACUAAACCAAUUAUAGCUCGG
rnacentral:lncRNA from 1 species